GAAGUCCCAGGUUAUGGCAUCGCUCUGCUAGUCCUAUUCUCUGUGAUCCUCUUCCUCCUUUUCUGCAUGUUCAUCAUAUGGAUUUGCUGUGCUGCCCGAGGAGACUCUCAGCAGAACCAGGGAGUAUACCUACAAAACCUUGGCCUUUCCAGACAACAGCAAUAAAAGCCAACGACCUCUGAUCUCCUCAUAUACCUCACUACCUACGACUCCUGUGCCGCAUCUCCCGGGGGGG